CUUCCAAUUAAACAUCCUGAAUUGUUUGAAAGUCUUGGAAUUGCUCAACCCAAGGGUGUUCUUCUGUAUGGACCACCUGGUACUGGAAAGACACUACUAGCUAGGGCUGUAGCGCAUCAUACUGAUUGUACUUUCAUUAGGGUUUCUGGCUCUGAAUUGGUUCAGAAGUACAUUGGUGAAGGCUCUAGAAUGGUCAGAGAACUCUUUGUUAUGGCAAGGGAACAUGCUCCAUCUAUCAUUUUCAUGGAUGAAAUUGACAGUAUCGGUUCUGCUAGAAUGGAAUCUGGGAGUGGAAAUGGUGACAGUGAAGUCCAGCGGACUAUGCUGGAGCUUCUCAAUCAGCUGGAUGGAUUUGAAGCAUCAAACAAGAUCAAGGUUUUGAUGGCAACUAAUCGUAUUGAUAUUCUGGAUCAAGCUCUCCUUAGGCCUGGACGGAUUGACAGGAAAAUAGAAUUUCCAAAUCCUAAUGAAGAGUCACGUCUGGAUAUCUUGAAAAUCCAUUCAAGAAGAAUGAAUUUAAUGCGUGGGAUUGAUUUAAAGAAGAUUGCAGAGAAGAUGAAUGGUGCAUCUGG
rnacentral:misc_RNA from 1 species